CUCAUACUAGUUUGCAACUAUCAAAAUUUUUCUCCUUAUUAUGUACCCAAAAUGCCCAAAAACUACAGCAUUUAACUGAGUCUGAGGACAUCAAUUUACAGACGGCCCAAGACUAACAACAUUUCGUAGCAGAGAGAGAGAGAGAGAGAGAGAGAGAGAGAG